GAUGAACGCUGGCGGCGUGCUUAACACAUGCAAGUCGAACGAGAAGUGAAGACGGAAACCUUCGGGCGGAAGGCUUUAUUUCGAGUGGCGGACGGGUGAGUAACGCGUGGGUAACCUGCCUCAUACAGGGGGAUAACAGUUGGAAACGACUGUUAAUACCGCAUAAGACCACAGCACCGCAUGGUGCGGGGGUAAAAACUCCGGUGGUAUGAGAUGGACCCGCGUUCGAUUAGCCAGUUGGCGGGGUAACGGCCCACCAAAGCGACGAUCGAUAGCCGAUUUGGAGGGAUGGCCGGCCACAUUGGGACUGGGACCCGGCCCAAACCCCGACGGAGGGCAGCAGUGGGGAAUUUUGACCAUUGGGGGAAACCCUAAGGCAGCGGCGCCGGGUGAGUAAAGAAGUAUUUCGGUAUGAAAAGCUCUAUAAGCAGGGAAGAAAAGGACGGUCCCUGAGUAAGAAGCCCCGGCAAACUAGGU
rnacentral:rRNA from 1 species